rnacentral:rRNA from 1 species
UACAGAGGGUGCAAGCGUUAAUCGGAAUUACUGGGCGUAAAGCGUGCGCAGGCGGUUUUGUAAGCCAGAUGUGAAAUCCCCGGGCUCAACCUGGGAAUGGCGAUGGAAACUGGCGGGCUGGAGUGUGGCAGAGGGGGGUGGAAUUCCGCGUGUAGCAGUGAAAUGCGUAGAGAUGCGGAGGAACACCGAUGGCGAAGGCAGCCCCCUGGGCCAACACUGACGCUCAGGCACGAAAGCGUGGGGAGCAAACAGG